ACAAGGAAAUAGAAGUGGAAAAAGCUUGGUUGUGAAGAUAAAGAUGGCCAGUAGGGCGAGGCGUACACAAUGUGAAGGUCGGCGAGGCUGUGGUGCGACGGCGGCUCAAAGGGAGAACCAAAUCUGGAGAAGAUUGCCCAAGUAGAUGGCCGGAGAUUGAGAGAGGACCGGCGGUGUUGGCAAUGGAAAAAGGAGGAGACCAGCAAGUGAAAGAGAGAGAGCUGGUGGGGCGCUCAGGGAGAGAGAGAGAGAAGGGUGGCGGUGGUGGCUGGCGGUGCGUGACGGCGGCGGCCGGAAGAACCUAGGCGUCUGAUACCAUGUUAGAAGAGAUUGAUGAAGAAUGGAUCGAAGUCCUCAUACAUUGAACAACAUACAUGAGUGACCCUUUGGGUCUACAUAUAGAACACAUAAGUAUACAUAUACAUAUAUCCAUACAUAUACAUGUAUAUAAAUAUACAAUACUAUAAUACAUCUAACACCAUCCAUCUCUUCAACCA